GGAAUAUAAGAACAUGUCUCUUAACUUUUAACUAAAAAAGUUAAGAACCGGCUCUUAAAUAAGAGUUUUAAGAGACGGUUCUUAGCUUUUUUAGUUAAAAGUUAAGAGACGGGUUCUUAUAUUCC
rnacentral:pre_miRNA from 1 species